rnacentral:rRNA from 1 species
CAAGUCGAGCGGCAGCGGGAUCUAGCUUGCUAGAUUGCCGGCGAGCGGCGGACGGGUGAGUAACGCGUAGGAAUCUACCGGAUAGUGGGGGACAACCAGUGGAAACGCUGGCUAAUACCGCAUACGCCCUACGGGGGAAAGCAGGGGAUCUUCGGACCUUGCGCUAUUCGAUGAGCCUGCGUGAGAUUAGCUUGUUGGUGAGGUAAAGGCUCACCAAGGCGACGAUCUCUAGCUGGUCUGAGAGGAUGAUCAGCCACACUGGGACUGAGACACGGCCCAGACUCCUACGGGAGGCAGCAGUGGGGAAUAUUGCACAAUGGGCGCAAGCCUGAUGCAGCCAUGCCGCGUGUGUGAAGAAGGCCUUCGGGUUGUAAAGCACUUUCAGCAGUGAGGAAAGGUUAGUAGUUAAUACCUGC